rnacentral:lncRNA from 1 species
CAUUUUCUUAGCAAAAAAAUAAAAACUUAAAACAGAUAUCCAGUGAAUGAUUAAGCAAUUACAUGUAUUCACAAAUAAGAAAUCAAGUCGAAUUAAGAUAUUGAACACCGUUUGUUUGAAGGACCAGAUGGACAUGAGUUGAUGCAGAUUCCAAUCAGCAAACAAAGGUUAUCAAGCAACGUAUAACAGGAGAAGAAGCUGGGAAAUUAUGUCUGCUCGCAUUCGAUUGACUUCAAAGUUCGUAUAGAGUACGAUAACUGCAGUCAUGUCAACCGUAGUGACACCGGCCCCAGAAAUAUGGACUGAGAUAGAGUGGGGUCGAAACCGAAACUAUUAAGUCGUAUUUCAAUCCUUGGCUGCCUUGGCUGGCUUGGCUUCGUGCCAAUUCAAAGCCGCAAGCAACUUCUGGAUCCUUGUUCGUUCCGGAGAGGACACAAAGGCCUUUCUCGGAGUGCGUCGGUCGAUCCGAGUUUAGGAAGUCUGUAUCAUCAAGAAAAAACUGCAGGUGGCUGGAAGCUGCCGAUCAGCUGCCAGUCUGGAUAGUAGCCAUCAACUCAGCAAAGGCCUGCAGGCGAAUCAGCCCAACCUGUUUCUCUGCUGCCUUUCAAGACAGGAUGGUUUGUGAAAAGUGAAACGGGGCCCAUGCACCGCUUCCGCAGGGCCCUGCUGUGGGAGCUCAUGGAGGUGGCACGGUGCAUGAAAGGAC